GGUUCUUCAUAGCUCAGUUGGUGGAGCACUGCAGCGUUGAUGCAGAGGCCAUGGCUUCGAAUCGCGUGGAAGCCCCA
rnacentral:tRNA from 1 species